UCGAGAAUUUUUCACAAUGGGCGCAAGCCUGAUGGAGCGACGCCGCGUGGGGGAUGAAGGGUUUCGAUCCGUAAACCCCUGUCAUUUGCGAACAAACCUUGAUUGUGAAUAGCGAUCGAGGUGAUUGUAGCGGAAGAGGAAGGGACGGCUAACUCUGUGCCAGCAGCCGCGGUAAUACAGAGGUCCCAAGCGUUGUUCGGAUUCACUGGGCGUAAAGGGUGCGUAGGUGGUCGGUGAAGUUCGGUGUGAAAGCUCGGAGCUCAACUCCGAAACGGCAUUGAAAACUCAUCGGCUGGAGGGUCGGAGGGGAGACUGAAUUCUCGGUGUAGCAGUGAAGUGCGUAGAUAUCGAGAGGAACACCAGUGGCGAAGGCGAGUCUCUGGACGACUCCUGACACUGAGGCACGAAAGCCAGGGGAGCAAACAG
rnacentral:rRNA from 1 species